GACGAACGCUGGCGGCGUGCUUAACACAUGCAAGUCGAACGGAAAGGCCCUGCUUUUGUGGGGUGCUCGAGUGGCGAACGGGUGAGUAACACGUGAGUAACCUGCCCUUGACUUUGGGAUAACUUCAGGAAACUGGGGCUAAUACCGGAUAGGAGCUCCUGCUGCAUGGUGGGGGUUGGAAAGCUUCGGCGGUUGGGGAUGGACUCGCGGCUUAUCAGCUUGUUGGUGGGGUAGUGGCUUACCAAGGCUUUGACGGGUAGCCGGCCUGAGAGGGUGACCGGCCACAUUGGGACUGAGAUACGGCCCAGACUCCUACGGGAGGCAGCAGUGGGGAAUAUUGCACAAUGGGCGGAAGCCUGAUGCAGCAACGCCGCGUGCGGGAUGACGGCCUUCGGGUUGUAAACCGCUUUCGCCUGUGACGAAGCGUGAGUGACGGUAAUGGGUAAAGAAGCACCGGCUAACUACGUGCCAGCAGCCGCGGUGAUACGUAGGGUGCGAGCGUUGUCCGGAUUUAUUGGGCGUAAAGGGCUCGUAGGUGGUUGAUCGCGUCGGAAGUGUAAUCUUGGGGCUUAACCCUGAGCGUGCUUUCGAUACGGGUUGACUUGAGGAAGGUAGGGGAGAAUGGAAUUCCUGGUGGAGCGGUGGAAUGCGCAGAUAUCAGGAGGAACACCAGUGGCGAAGGCGGUUCUCUGGGCCUUUCCUGACGCUGAGGAGCGAAAGCGUGGGGAGCGAACAGGCUUAGAUACCCCGGUAGUCCACGCUGUAAACGGUGGGUACUAGGUGUGGGGUCCAUUCCACGGGUUCCGUGCCGUAGCUAACGCUUUAAGUACCCCGCCUGGGGAGUACGGCCGCAAGGCUAAAACUCAAAGGAAUUGACGGGGCCCCGCACAAGCGGCGGAGCAUGCGGAUUAAUUCGAUGCAACGCGUAGAACCUUACCUGGGUUUGACAUGGAUCGGGAGCGCUCAGAGAUGGGUGUGCCUCUUUUGGGGUCGGUUCACAGGUGGUGCAUGGCUGUCGUCAGCUCGUGUCGUGAGAUGUUGGGUUAAGUCCCGCAACGAGCGCAACCCUUGUUCACUGUUGCCAGCACGUUAUGGUGGGGACUCAGUGGAGACCGCCGGGGUCAACUCGGAGGAAGGUGGGGAUGGCGUCAAGUCAUCAUGCCCCUUAUGUCCAGGGCUUCACGCAUGCUACAAUGGCUGGUACAGAGAGUGGCGAGCCUGUGAGGGUGAGCGAAUCUCGGAAAGCCGGUCUCAGUUCGGAUUGGGGUCUGCAACUCGACCUCAUGAAGUCGGAGUCGCUAGUAAUCGCAGAUCGGCAACGCUGCGGUGAAUACGUUCCCGGGGCU
rnacentral:rRNA from 1 species